rnacentral:rRNA from 1 species
ACUACGGGAGGCAGCAGUGGGGAAUAUUGGGCAAUGGGCGCAAGCCUGACCCAGCAACGCCGCGUGAAGGAAGAAGGCUUUCGGGUUGUAAACUUCUUUUCUCAGGGACGAAGAAAGUGACGGUACCUGAGGAAUAAGCCACGGCUAACUACGUGCCAGCAGCCGCGGUAAUACGUAGGUGGCAAGCGUUAUCCGGAUUUACUGGGUGUAAAGGGCGUGUAGGCGGGAAAGCAAGUCAGAUGUGAAAACCACGGGCUCAACCUGUGGCCUGCAUUUGAAACUGUUUUUCUUGAGUACUGGAGAGGCAGACGGAAUUCCUAGUGUAGCGGUGAAAUGCGUAGAUAUUAGGAGGAACACCAGUGGCGAAGGCGGUCUGCUGGACAGCAACUGACGCUGAGGCGCGAAAGCGUGGGGAGCAAACAGGAUUAGAUACCCGAGUAGUC